rnacentral:lncRNA from 1 species
AGGUGUUGGAAAAUAUAUCCUAAAAUCAAUCAUUUAGAUGAUUAUGCUCAUUCUAUAAUAUAUAUAUAAAUUAUUAAUUAAUAAAUAAAAAUUAUUUUGAUAUCAUUCAUCAUAAAGUUACAUCUUCCUUGCUAGAACUCGUGUUGUGAUGAAGUCCUUAAAACUAUGAAGUAAUCGAUAAAAGAGGAUUUAUUAUAUAGUUCUUAAAUAUAUUCACGAUCAAAUAAUAUGUCAUUAAAGGAUGAUGAUGUUUAUCGAGUGAAGAUCAUUAUGUACCAUAUGGGUUGGUUGUCCUCUUAACUAAGGAGUGUGGAGACACUGGUAUGGCAUACAGAUGACAUAUAGGAGUAUAUCGUCACUGAACAAGUGACUCACCUGCUAAGCACUCUAUUGUCAAGAAAAGCUCACAAAAUAUAUGGAGAUAAGUAUCCCUCAGACCUGAGAUCACUAUAGUGACUUGUAAGCAACUUACUGUACUUUGGUACUGGACUAUCUACAAUUUUAAUGCAGUGAUAGAAGGC